UACGAAGGGGGCUAGCGUUGCUCGGAAUUACUGGGCGUAAAGGGCGCGUAGGCGGACAGUUUAGUCAGAGGUGAAAGCCCAGGGCUCAACCUUGGAAUAGCCUUUGAUACUGGCUGUCUUGAGUUCGGGAGAGGUGAGUGGAAUGCCGAGUGUAGAGGUGAAAUUCGUAGAUAUUCGGCGGAACACCAGUGGCGAAGGCGACUCACUGGCCCGAUACUGACGCUGAGGCGCGAAAGCGUGGGGAGCGAACAGG
rnacentral:rRNA from 1 species